rnacentral:rRNA from 1 species
CAAUAGCGUAUAUUAACGUUGUUGCAGUUAAAAAGCUCGUAGUUGGAUUUCUGGAGGGAGCGUCGGCCCGUAUUUACGAGUGCGUGACGUCUCUGUCCAUCCUUGCGGGAAGGCACGGCAUUGAUUUGUUGUGUCGGAUCGCAUCAUUUACUGUGAAAAAAUUAGAGUGUUCAAAGCAGGCUUUCGCUUGAAUACAUUAGCAUGGAAUAAUAAGAUAGGACUUUGGUGCUGUUUUGUUGGUUGAGCCUAAAGUAAUGAUUAAUAGGGAUAGUUGGGGGCACCUGUAUUGCGUUGUCAGAGGUGAAAUUCUUGGAUUUACACAAGACAAACAGCUGCGAAAGCGUCUGCCAAGGAUGUUUNCAUUA